rnacentral:rRNA from 1 species
UAGGGAAUCUUCCACAAUGGACGCAAGUCUGAUGGAGCAACGCCGCGUGAGUGAAGAAGGUCUUCGGAUCGUAAAACUCUGUUGUUAGAGAAGAACACGAGUGAGAGUAACUGUUCAUUCGAUGACGGUAUCUAACCAGCAAGUCACGGCCAACUACGUGCCCG